CAGGGAAUCUUGUCCAAUGGGCGAAAGCCUGAGACAGCGACGCCGCGUGAGGGAUGAAGGCCUUCGGGUUGUAAACCUCUUUCAGGAGGGACGAAUAAUGACGGUACCUCCAGAAGAAGCCCCGGCUAACUACGUGCCAGCAGCCGCGGUAAUACGUAGGGGCGAGCGUUGUCCGGAUUUAUUGGGCGUAAAGGGCUCGUAGGCGGCUCAGCAAGUCGAUCGUGAAAACCCGGGGCUCAACCCCGGGACGCCGGUCGAUACUGCUGUGGCUAGGGUCCGGUAGAGGAGAAUGGAAUUCCCGGUGUAGCGGUGAAAUGCGCAGAUAUCGGGAGGAACACCAGUAGCGAAGGCGGUUCUCUGGGCCGGUACCGACGCUGAGGAGCGAAAGCGUGGGGAGCAAACA
rnacentral:rRNA from 1 species